rnacentral:tRNA from 1 species
CAGAGACGAGUGAAACGGGCUGACAUCUGGUUUGGGACCAGAGGGUCGGGAGUUCGAAUCUCUCCACUCCGACCA